UUCUGGUAAAAUGAUUGGUCCAACAAG
rnacentral:sRNA from 1 species